AAAUAUCGAAUCGAAGCCUUCGACCCCGUCGGAGCUAGGUUUGGACCAUGGGAGUCUGCGGGCGGUGAACCUCCUGUCGGAGGGGACGUCGGCUCUCCUCAAAAGCAUUAGCGGCGUGUGCGAGCCUCGCACGGCACGGCCUCUUCGACGUCAUAAUGACCGUCGUGGGCUGGAAGCGCGUGGAUCGCGUCGCUUUCCAACUCUGCGAGCCCCGUCUCGGACGGGCCGCGCGUCAUCGAU
rnacentral:misc_RNA from 1 species